rnacentral:snoRNA from 1 species
AGGCUGUGAUGAAACUCGUGCGGCGUCCGAGGUGUGGGAAAGCGCGUGGCCUGCAUAAGGCUGAACCCAACGUGGCACCCACCCCAUAUGAUGGAUUUCUCGCACAGAGUCUGAGCUGG